rnacentral:rRNA from 1 species
UACGUAGGGGGCAAGCGUUGUCCGGAUUUAUUGGGCGUAAAGAGCUCGUAGGCGGUUUGUCGCGUCUGCUGUGAAAACUGGAGGCUCAACCUCCAGCCUGGCAGUGGGUACGGGCAGACUAGAGUGCGGUAGGGGAGAUUGGAAUUCCUGGUGUAGCGGUGGAAUGCGCAGAUAUCAGGAGGAACACCAAUGGCGAAGGCAGAUCUCUGGGCCGUAACUGACGCUGAGGAGCGAAAGCUGGGUAGCAAACAGG